AACGAACGCUGGCGGCGUGGAUAAGACAUGCAAGUCGAGCGCUGAUUACAGGGUAGCAAUAUUCUGUAGUUGGAGCGGCGCAAGGGUGCGUAACACGUGGGUAAUCUGCCAUGAAGUUUGGAAUAACUCGCUGAAAGGCGAGCUAAUGCCGGAUGUGAAAGCUGGGAGGCAUCUCUUGGUUUUCAAAGCUGGGGACCGUAAGGCCUGGCGCUUCAUGAUGAGCCCGCGGCCUAUCAGCUAGUUGGUAAGGUAACGGCUUACCAAGGCUAAGACGGGUAGCUGGUCUGAGAGGACGACCAGCCACACUGGAACUGAGACACGGUCCAGACACCUACGGGUGGCAGCAGUCGAGAAUUUUUCACAAUGGGCGCAAGCCUGAUGGAGCGACGCCGCGUGGGGGAUGAAUGGCUUCGGCCCGUAAACCCCUGUCAUUUGCGAUCAACCGUUGUUGUUUAAGAGAUGACAACCUGAUAGUAGCG
rnacentral:rRNA from 1 species